AGUCUUGGUGGAACCUUUCGUUUUGAAGGAAAUAAGCUUCAGUCUGUCUGUCCUCUUCUUCAUUGCAAACUUACAUAACCAGAAAUCUCUACUGUUUUUGCUGAGACAAGGUAAAAACGCUUCAGAAUGGAUAAGAUUUCGUUGAUCUUUUUACUGGCAGCAGUCUUUUCUUUCGCUCAUGUCGGCGAAGCUGCGACAUCAUGCUACCAAUGUGUGUACAUCACUGGCGGUGGAAAUUCGA